GCCGACUCUCAGCUUGCGGAAAAGGUGGGGAGGAAUAGAAAAAGGCAGCUCUCCCAUCAAAGGACAAUGACAGAAUCUCAGAUGGGGCGAGAGGGCGUACAGGAGCGAGAUAUACCAGCUAGUGGAGUGGUGUCGCAGCAACAACCUGGCACUCAACGUCAGUGAGACCAAAGAGCUGAUUGUGGACUUCAGAAAGGGGAAAGGAAUUUACUUUGCCCCAACUGGUCUGGAUGUAUUCCCCAUCACACAAUUUGUGGCUGGCUUUCAGGUAUUGGAUUUCCAUGGCAGGUCUGCUGAUUGCCCGCUGUAACUUUGUCAUGAGAUCCACACACCUCUGAGAGGAAGCAUCGAGUUACACCAGCUGUCUGAAGAUCUCCUGCUGAAUUUACCGCUGAUCAGGGAAAGCCUCACCGAACCAAUGGAAUGAAUGUCCUCAGGGGAUCUGGGGAUAUAUAAUAAAUAUUACAUUGCCCAAUGUCACAUACAUUCUCAGAAUAAAAUUUAGAAAAUAAUUGGAAUAUCUUUACAAGCUGUUUAAUAGCUUAUGAGAUUCUGAAGUACAACAAUUAUACAGCCACUAGAUUAGUAAUGAAAUAGGCAGGUUGAAUAAUAGAGAAGGUGAGUUUAAAUCUUGGUUGGCAAAUUUACCCUCAGUUAAUGAAAUAUAUUUUAAAAAUCUAGACUUUAAUAAAUGCAAAGGUAGUGUGGCCAUGAGAAGGAAGCUCUCCUCAUCUUCCUUCUGCGGCCUCAGUGUGACUCUCAAAAACAAGAUACAAAAACACCAAGACCAUGAUUAGAACCAGAAAACACAGACUAAUGCUUCAAAGAGGAAAGCCUUUAUCAGGUUGUUAUUUUAAAAAUUACGGCAGAUAUGAAAUUUGAAGUAUCUUGCUGAAUAUCUACAACAUCUUAUUGUGCUUUAUAUUGUACUGUUAUGGAGCAUGUAUUGGAAACAGCAAACCCUUUUGACUAUAUUUGGUGAUAGCGUUUGAAUUAUCCACUUUAAACAAAAGGAAUACCUUUGAGUGAAAAAGAACAUGUACAUUAAUUAAGGAUGCCCUUUGUCUUUCUCUGUUUUGAAUGACUGCAGGUUGAGAUCUUUUUCUCAAGAUUUUGUAAUGCUGUCCCAAUACUAUGCUAUUGAUUUAUUUGACUUCAGGUUCACAGAUUCUGCCAGAACAGGAGACCAGAAAUUGAUUGGACCAUGGUACUGUAGUCCUGAGUCUCAACUUCUUCUAUGCUCUCUUCAUUUCUGGCCACCAACCCUAGUUCAGUGGGGAACGUCGAAGUGCACCAUACACAUGGGGCAUCAUAAUCUGAUUUAUUUUCAUAUUUAGAGGUACAGUGUGGAAUAGGCUCUUCUGGCCCCUCGAGCCAGGCCACUCAGCACCCUUGA